GGUGUGACUGAAGGAUGUGACUACUUAAAUCCAACGGGCAAGCUCUACUAUGAGCAUUGAGUCCCUGGCCCGCUGGGACAGCACUGGCUGCCGUUUGUUUUAGUUGAUUUUACAUGUGCUGCGGCUGGAGCGUCCUUCUCUCACUGGUGUCAUCUGGGACUGGGAGUUCACUUAGACGGUGAUUUGGUUUGUGGUGCACGCAGUUUAUAGCAUGGUGUUUUUGUUUGGAAGUAAUUGGAUUUAUGUUUUGUUUGUAGUAUAACCCCAGUCCCGCCAUGGUGAGUGUCUGGGAUCUCGGCCGGAGCUCGACUGUCUAUCACCUUGUCUUUCAUUGCUGUGUUUUGAGGUUUCAGUUAUGUUUAAUAAAAUGGCAUGUGUCUGACCCACA